GCCCUGGUGGCGGAAUCGGUAGACGCAGCGGACUUAAAAUCCGCUGUCCGUAAGGACGUGUGGGUUCGAGUCCCACCCUGGGCACCA
rnacentral:tRNA from 1 species